UACGGAGGGAGCUAGCGUUGUUCGGAAAUACUGGGCGUAAAGCGCACGUAGGCGGCGCAGCAAGUCAGGGGUGAAAUCCCGGGGCUCAACCCCGGAACUGCCCUUGAAACUGCAGUGCUAGAAUCUUGGAGAGGUCAGUGGAAUUCCGAGUGUAGAGGUGAAAUUCGUAGAUAUUCGGAAGAACACCAGUGGCGAAGGCGGCUCACUGGCUCGGUACUGACGCUGAGGCGCGAAAGCGUGGGGAGCAAACAGG
rnacentral:rRNA from 1 species